UCCCUGAUGGUUCAGUGGUUAAGACGUUGCACUUCCAAUGCAGAGGGCCAGGGUUCAAUCCCUGGUCAGGGAA
rfam:TPA: Bos taurus chromosome 18, whole genome shotgun sequence.